rnacentral:rRNA from 1 species
UACGGGGGGGGCAAGCGUUGUUCGGAAUUACUGGGCGUAAAGGGCUCGUAGGGGGCCAACUAAGUCAGACGUGAAAUCCCCAGGCUUAACCUGGGAACUGCGUCUGAUACUGGAUGGCUUGAAUUCGGGAGAGGGAUGCAGAAUUCCAGGUGUAGCGGUGAAAUGCGUAGAUAUCUGGAGGAACACCGGUGGCGAAGGCGGAUCUCUGGGCCAUUACUGACGCUGAGGAGCGAAAGCGUGGGGAGCGAACAGG